UACGUAGGGUGCGAGCGUUAAUCGGAAUUACUGGGCGUAAAGCGUGCGCAGGCGGCGCUGUAAGACAGAUGUGAAAUCCCCGGGCUUAACCUGGGAACUGCAUUUGUGACUGCAGUGCUAGAGUGUGUCAGAGGGGGGUGGAAUUCCACGUGUAGCAGUGAAAUGCGUAGAGAUGUGGAGGAACACCGAUGGCGAAGGCAGCCCCCUGGGAUAACACUGACGCUCAGGCACGAAAGCGUGGGGAGCAAACAGG
rnacentral:rRNA from 1 species